UAGGAAAUUGAAUUAAUGAAUGAAUACAAAAACCUGGAUUGAAAUAGGUUCAAGCUGCAUCAAGUACCUAGGAAAAUUUUUAGUUACUCAUAAUCUCAAAAUCCAAACUCAUUAUUCUUGAUUCAAAACCCAAACUCAUUGUAAAAUACUAGAAUAAAAGAUCUAAAUCAAGAUAAGGGAAGAAAAGAAAAACUUUGAUCGACGAAACCAAGCCCAAUCUCUUGAAUCUUGAAUCCUUCUCCCAAAGUAGCCAAAUCCUUGAGUCUUGAGUAAAUCUAGCCAAAAUUGUGUUUCUUGGAGUGUCUAAGGUUGCCAAAGUCGCUUCCUAGGUGUAAAAAGAUGUAUUUAUAUUAGAGGAGGCGUCUAGAAUGGUGAGAGUUUAAGUUUGUUUCUAAAUCCUAUCAAAAUAGGCAAGGGAUCGUGCAAAUCACCAUCUGUACAGUCAGGCCGUGCACUUCACUGCCUCACUUGAAAGCUUAAAUUUUUCUCAGCUAUUUCGGUUCCACAUGGCCUAGGCAUGAACUUGGCCAUUUUCCACUGCCUAGCCAUGCACUCCACUGUCUAAAUUGCUCCCCAUUGUGCCAAAAUGCUCCAAUUAUAACUUCAAUUCCAAAAUUGAAUGUCUAUGGCACCUAAAACCAUCAAACACAAAAAAUCAGAGUGAAAACACAAGAAACACAAUUAAGACUCAAUUUAGCACUAAAUAUCAAUAAAAGCACUAUAAAAACCCAAAGAAAAUUACACCAAAUUUAAUAUAAAAAUGCAACACAUCACCUUGCGAAGCUAAUAAUGACUCCAAUAAUCUAAAGCUUGAACUUUUUAUUGAAUAAGACAAUGGACGUCCCUUGUUGACUAAGAACAACAUCAACUCAACACUAAAAGCACUAAUCAACCUCAAAACAUUAUGUUAAAAUUGGGGAGGGCAGAACUGGAGCUUUAGUCAUCUGUUCCUUGGUAUGUUCAGAGUUAUUAUGUUGAUUCUAUCCAAGUGAACAAUCCUUCUAUUGAACAAUCAAUGAUAGGGGCAAUGGGCUGCUAGAAUUCUCAAUUAUAUUGAAUUGUAUCCACUCUGAUUUUUAUAUUAGAAAUAACAUACCAGAAUUUUAGGUUAGCAUGACAUGAAGCUUCUUCUCCUUUAUGUUUGGAACACUAUUCUCAAAUGCUCCAUAUUCUAGUCAACCAUUCUGCUGUAAAUCAAAAUAUCAUCAA
rnacentral:misc_RNA from 1 species